UUGUGUGUGGGGUCCAUUAUCUUGUUUAUAUGACAUCCAAUCCACUAAAAUGACGUGGCAUACCAGGAGGAAUAUAUUAUGAUUAAGAAAAACAUUAAAGGACUAAUGUGGGCCACACCAUGUGAAUUUAGAGUUUUAGGCGUUAUUUUACACCCAUUUCCUAUGAUGUGGCAUAAAUGACGUCAUAUUUUUUGAAAUUUUUAGGAUGGAUGGUGAAAAUGUGAGGAAACACCUGAUGGACGGCGUGGAUCUGAUGCUUGUUUGUCUCGCGGAGCGAUCAGUGAGCGCAAGUCAGACCCCCCGCGAUGCUUACGUAAGUCAGCAUAGCUGAGUCCUUGCUUUUGUCAUCUCUCUUAAAAUCCAGGGGCUGGAGUUUGGGUUUUCGUUUUAUCUCGACGAGGUUGUUGUUGUUGAGAUUUCGUGCUCUUUUCUGCCCAACGUAAGAGCCCUUUGAGUGCAAGCAAUACGAGGUGUUGAAGGAGGGGACAUGGGCCGUCAUCAUCACGACCACAACCACCAUCAACAUGGAAGUGAUAGCCCAUAUGAUGAUCCUUUCUUGGCUUGUUGUUGCUGCCCAUGCUUUCUAAUCUCCUCUACGGCUAGAGCAAUUGGCAGGUGCAUGUUUGUGGCUUGCUACCCUAUUCUUCAAUGCUUUGGCUUGGAUAGAUGGAGACAUCAACACCAUCAUAGGCAUUUCCGUUGAUUUCAUUGCCGCAUUCUGCGCUUUUGGUGAAUGUGGUCUUAUGUAUGUGAUUGGAAUGAUGUUUUGGACGUUCCAAAUGUAAAUAGGAAUUUGUUUAAUCAAAUCCUAUAGAUCUACCUUAACGCCA